GGGAAUUGCCAUGAGAAUAAGAAAUAAAUCUGGGGGAAUACUUUAAGAACAGGGUAACCUAGUAGCAGACUGAUUACCUUUUCAGCUAAAUUACAAGAAGAGAUAGAAUUUGAACAUCAUUAUUUUCCGGGGAGCCUAACUUGGUAUUGGGAACUUGCUGAAAGCUUUUUACAGAAGGAUGUUAAGGGUGCCGUUCAGAUGAUCCAGGGCCCUGAGAUUUCCAGGCCAAAACUUGAAACAACCCCUAGUUUGGAAGGGAAGAGACAAAUUGUAGGAAAAAUCAGUAGGCUUAUUCAAAUGAGGUAA
rnacentral:lncRNA from 11 species